GCCGCCGUCGCCGCUACUAUCGCCCGUCGUUGUCAUCGUCGCAAUCGCAGUCGCAGUCGCAGAGUCGUCGUCGUUGUGUAGUCGUUUCGUCGUCUCGUUGUACCACGUUCGCGCGUGAUUUUCACCAGGCGGAUGGACAUCGAUCAUUCAGUUGAGGAGCGGCUAUAUUAAAACUAGGGAGAACCUUUAUUCCCUAUUGAAAGGAUAUAAGAUAUUAAGCGGAGAGUAGGAGGAUCUAAAGGAAAAAUCUCUAAUAAAAGAGCAUCGUGCAAUCAAGAGUGGAUAUUUUAAACGAAGCAACAACGCGGGCCGAAAUCGAAUAAAACGGAAGAACUGAUUAUGAGUCGGAACAGUGCAGUAGGUCAGCACGCAUCCGAGCCGGCGUUAUACAAACUCGACACGAGACACGCGUUGGUUUGAGACCGGCUUGAAGGACACCAUCAGCGGCUUUUUGAGACACGUAUACAUACAAUACAUGCUACUACUACUACUACUACAUCAUCAACAACAACAACAACAACAACAACAGCAGCAGAAGUAGAAGUAAAAGCAGAAGCAGCAGAAGCAACAACAACAACAGCAGCAGCAGUAUUAUCAAUAGUAGUCUGCAUAAAAAGCAUCGGCUACAAAACACCAAUAACAACAAGAACACAAUUAUCGUCAUAUUCGUCGAGACGUUUAGAGAAGAGUUUCGAAGGCUUCCACAAGCUUUGCUCACACGAAAGGAGAAGAAUUACGGAGUCGAGAGUAGAGAAGGAGGGUUUAAGGAAA
rnacentral:lncRNA from 1 species